rnacentral:lncRNA from 1 species
GAUAUGAGAGGACUAUUUUGUUGGAGAAAUUCUCACUAUUUCAUUUUUGGUGUCAAUGUGAUGUGAUUCAAGAGUCAAGCCCAACGAAGACAAGUCCAGGAAGAGAUCCAUUGAUUAUUGAAAGAGGACCAAUGAUGCGUUCGAGGACAAAGCGGACCAGUCAAGAGAUGGGAUUACUUGUGCAAUCAAAAAUUGACGAAACGUCAAUCUUGGUGAGAAAAUAUGCAAGUUUCAUGUUGGGGUCGAAAGCCGAAACCAUUUAGAUCAACACGAUACAAGCAGCCGAAAUUAGAGCCUUGGCACAACACGGUGCAGCCGCACAAUGUUAACCACCAUGCGGUCACAUGGUGAUCUACCAAAAGUAAAUAGGCAGCAGAGACUUGAACCAUGCGUUGUAGAAGAUUCCACCGUGCAGUCGUAUAGAAGAGAUGUAACAAGCGAAACUUCAUUUUCCUGAGACCUAAUUGGAAGAUAAUUUUACUCUAUAUGAUAGCUUGUAAUCUUUUAAGUUGCUUUUCAUUUUUAAACUUGUUUCUAGGGUUAGUAUAAAUAGAUUUCUUCAUCUUCAUGGUAAGAG